rnacentral:tRNA from 1 species
GGCUCCAUAGUGUAGUGGUUAGCACAUCUGCUUUACACGAAGAAGGUCCUAGGUUCCUGUCCCAGGUGGAGCCA